CCUAGCUUGCUAGGUGGAUUAGUGGCGCACGGGUGAGUAAUAUAUAGAUAACGUGCCUCUUAGUCUGGGAUAGCCAUUGGAAACGAUGAUUAAUACUAGAUAUUCCUUCUAACAAUAAUGUUAGUCGGGAAAGUUUUUCGCUAAGAGAUCGGUCUAUAUCCCAUCAGCUAGUUGGUAGUGUAAGAGACUACCAAGGCAAUGACGGGUAGCGGGUUUGAGAGGAUGAUCCGCCACACUGGUACUGAGACACGGACCAGACUCCUACGGGAGGCAGCAGUGAGGAAUAUUGCACAAUGGAGGAAACUCUGAUGCAGCAACGCCGCGUGGAGGAUGACGCAUUUCGGUGUGUAAACUCCUUUUAUAUGUCAAGAAAAUGACGGUAGCAUAUGAAUAAGCACCGGCUAACUCCGUGCCAGCAGCCGCGGUAAUACGGAGGGUGCAAGCGUUAUUCGGAAUCACUGGGCGUAAAGGACGCGUAGGCGGGAUGCCAAGUCUGAUGU
rnacentral:rRNA from 1 species